rnacentral:rRNA from 1 species
UUCCGGUUGAUCCUGCCGGAGGUUACUGCUAUCGAGGUUCGACUAAGCCAUGCGAGUCGAAUGUAGCAAUACAUGGCGAACUGCUCAGUAACACGUGGACAACCUGCCCUUAGGACGGGGAUAAACCCGGGAAACUGGGUAUAAUACCCGAUAGGUCUCGAUUGCUGGAAUGCAUCGAGAUUUAAAGCUCCGGCGCCUAGGGAUGGGUCUGCGGCCUAUCAGGUAGUAGUGGGUGUAGCGUACCUACUAGCCUACGACGGGUACGGGUUGUGAGAGCAAGAGCCCGGAGAUGGAUUCUGAGACACGAAUCCAGGCCCUACGGGGUGCAGCAGGCGCGAAAACUUUACAAUGCUGGCAACAGCGAUAAGGGAACCUCGAGUGCCAGGUUACAAAUCUGGCUGUCGAGAUGCCUAAAAAGCAUUUCAUAGCAAGGGCCGGGCAAGACCGGUGCCAGCCGCCGCGGUAACACCGGCGGCUCGAGUGGUAACCGUUAUUAUUGGGUCUAAAGGGUCUGUAGCCGGCCGGAUAAGUCUCUUGAGAAAUCUGGCAGCUUAACUGUCAGGCUUUCAGGAGAUACUGUCUGGCUCGAGGCCGGGAGAGGUGAGAGGUACUUCAGGGGUAGGGGUGAAAUCUUGUAAUCCUUGAAGGACCACCAGUGGCGAAGGCGUCUCACCAGAACGGACCUGACGGCAAGGGACGAAAGCUAGGGGCACGAACCGGAUUAGAUACCCGGGUAGUCCUAGCCGUAAACGAUACUCGCUAGGUGUCGGCCACGGUGCGACCGUUGUCGGUGCCGUAGGGAAGCCGUGAAGCGAGCCACCUGGGAAGUACGGCCGC